AUGACUUCCUGGAUUGUGUUGCUGGAGAUGGCUCUCUGUGGACUCCUGCAUCAAUGUUUGCCUGGCAUGGGGGCAGAGCAGUGGUAUGUUUCUAGCUGCUGUCCCAGCCUAAAGGACUUAAUUAUGUGUGAAGAGUUGAAACUGGAUUAUUUCUUGUUUCUUGAAUGGUGUAUGUUCCAGGCUUUGAGCCUUAGCCUACCUGAAACUCUUUCUUGCUAUCUACAGACAACCUUACGUUUCUGGGAUCAUCUCAAAUGCUGUUCCUUCUAUAAAUUAUUUGUUCUAUAAGUGACCCUUAGUUGA
rnacentral:lncRNA from 1 species